rnacentral:rRNA from 1 species
GGGAGCCCUAUGCCCUUCACUGGGUGUAGUGGGGAACCAGGACUUUUACUGUGAAAAAAUUAGAGUGUUCAAAGCAGGCCUAUGCUCGAAUACAUCAGCAUGGAAUAAUAGAAUAGGACGUGUGGUUCUAUUUUGUUGGUUUCUAGGACCGCCGUAAUGAUUAAUAGGGACAGUCGGGGGCAUCAGUAUUCAAUUGUCAGAGGUGAAAUUCUUGGAUUUAUUGAAGACUAACUACUGCGAAAGCAUUUGUCAAGGAUGUUUUCAUUAAUCAGGAACGAAAGUUAGGGGAUCGAAGACGAUCAGAUACCGUCGUAGUCUUAACCAUAAACUAUGCCGACUAGGGAUCGGACGAUGUUAUUUUUUGACUCGUUCGGCACCUUACGAG